rnacentral:misc_RNA from 1 species
AAGUCGUAACAAGGUUUCCGUAGGUGAACCUGCGGAAGGAUCAUUAACACGUAUCCAAACGUUAAACCCCCCCCGUGAACCUUCAUCGUGCUCUAGUGGGCCACUGAUAAACACAGCAAUUCCUGGUAAAUCAUUGUCUGAACAAGCCUUUGAGUCAGGAACCUCUGUGCAGUGCGAGCUACACCCACUAUAGAAGCGCUAGUUCCAUCGGCAUUGUUUCCCCAAGCAGCCAGUGCGUGAAAGUGGCAACUGACUGUGCAAGGAUAACGCUUAACGAUUUUGCAGCCGCAACACGCGGGCAGAGCUUUGCCAAAGGGUCCCCAUGCCCCUUCCUUGGAUGGGGUAAAACCGAACAACUGUUAACAAUGGAUAUCUUGGUUCUC